AGAAGUUAUUCGAGGAACCAAGUUCCUUACCCUGUUGAGAAAAUGUAAAAUUUUCCUCAUUUUUGAGCAAUUUAGCAAAAUUUUUAAAUGUGAUAUAUUUUAAUGCGAAUUAGUUGCAAUGUGUUUCUUUUCACUCAAAUAAUGCUUUAAAUUAAAAAAAUAAUAAAAAAUCGGAAAAAAAAUUUUAAAAAAUUUUCAACUCGAAAAUUUCAUAAGGCUUACCCCUUACGUUUUUUUUGGGAAAUUUUGCAAAAAAAAUGAAAUUGAUUUAUUUUAAUGCCAAUUGCUUGCAAUGUGUUUCUUUUCACUCAAGUAAUGCUUUAAAUAAAAAAAAGAGUGAAAAAUAAUAAAAAAAUCAAAAAAUUCAAAGAAAUUUAAAUUUACUAAGGCUCAUUUUUGCAGCAAGUUUUGCCUAUAACUCGGUCGGUAUCCAACGGAUCGCCAAUCUUUAACCUGUGAUCGAUAGAUGGCAUCAAUGGCUACAUUUUCUUCUUGGACAGCCAUGCUCUCAGGUGUCCGUGCCGGAAGUUAUUCGAGGAAACAAGUUCCAUACCCUGUUUGAGAAAAUGUAAAAUUUUUCUCAUUUUUGCACCAAGUUUUGCCUAUAACUCGGUCGGUAUCCAACGGAUCGCCAAUCUUUAAACUGUGGUCGAUAGAUGGCACCUAUGGCUACAUUUUCUUCUUAGACGGUCAUGCUCUCAGGUGCCCGUGCCAGAAGUUAUUCGAGGAACCAAGUUCCUUACCCUGUUGAGAAAAUGUAAAAUUUUCCUCAUUUUUGAGCAAUUUAGCAAAAUUUUUAAAUGUGAUAUAUUUUAAUGCGAAUUAGUUGCAAUGUGUUUCUUUUCACUCAAAUAAUGCUUUAAAUUAAAAAAAUAAUAAAAAAUCAGAAAAAAAUUUUAAAAAAUUUUCAACUCGAAAAUUUUAUAAGGCUUACCCCUUACGUUUUUUUUGGGAAAUUUUGCAAAAAAAAUGAAAUUGAUUUAUUUUAAUGCCAAUUGCUUGCAAUGUGUUUCUUUUCACUCAAGUAAUGCUUUAAAUAAAAAAAAGAGUGAAAAAUAAUAAAAAAAUCAAAAAAUUCAAAAAAAUUAAAAUUUACUAAGGCUCAUUUUUGCAGCAAGUUUUGCCUAUAACUCGGUCGGUAUCCAACGGAUCGCCAAUCUUUAACCUGUGAUCGAUAGAUGGCAUCAAUGGCUACAUUUUCUUCUUGGACAGCCAUGCUCUCAGGUGUCCGUGCCGGAAGUUAUUCGAGGAAACAAGUUCCAUACCCUGUUUGAGAAAAUAUAAAAUUUUUCUCAUUUUUGCAGCAAGUUUUGCCUAUAACUCGGUCGGUAUCCAACGGAUCGCCAAUCUUUAACCUGUGAUCGAUAGAUGGCAUCAAUGGCUACAUUUUCUUCUUGGACAGCCAUGCUCUCAGGUGUCCGUGCCGGAAGUUAUUCGAGGAAACAAGUUCCAUACCCUGUUUGAGAAAAUGUAAAAUUUUUCUCAUUUUUGCACCAAGUUUUGCCUAUAACUCGGUCGGUAUCCAACGGAUCGCCAAUCUUUAAACUGUGGUCGAUAGAUGGCACCUAUGGCUACAUUUUCUUCUUAGACGGCCAUGCUCUCAGGUGCCCGUGCCAGAAGUUAUUCGAGGAACCAAGUUCCUUACCCUGUUGAGAAAAUGUAAAAUUUUCCUCAUUUUUGAGCAAUUUAGCAAAAUUUUUAAAUGUGAUAUAUUUUAAUGCGAAUUAGUUGCAAUGUGUUUCUUUUCACUCAAAUAAUGCUUUAAAUUAAAAAAAUAAUAAAAAAUCGGAAAAAAAAUUUUAAAAAUUUUCAACUCGAAAAUUUCAUAAGGCUUACCCCUUACGUUUUUUUUGGGAAAUUUUGCAAAAAAAAUGAAAUUGAUUUAUUUUAAUGCCAAUUGCUUGCAAUGUGUUUCUUUUCACUCAAGUAAUGCUUUAAAUAAAAAAAAGAGUAAAAAAUAAUAAAAAAAUCAAAAAAUUCAAAAAAAUUAAAAUUUACUAAGGCUCAUUUUUGCAGCAAGUUUUGCCUAUAACUCGGUCGGUAUCCAACGGAUCGCCAAUCUUUAACCUGUGAUCGAUAGAUGGCAUCAAUGGCUACAUUUUCUUCUUGGACAGCCAUGCUCUCAGGUGUCCGUGCCGGAAGUUAUUCGAGGAAACAAGUUCCAUACCCUGUUUGAGAAAAUAUAAAAUUUUUCUCAUUUUUGCACCAAGUUUUGCCUAUAACUCGGUCGGUAUCCAACGGAUCGCCAAUCUUUAAACUGUGGUCGAUAGAUGGCACCUAUGGCUACAUUUUCUUCUUAGACGGCCAUGCUCUCAGGUGCCCGUGCCAGAAGUUAUUCGAGGAACCAAGUUCCUUACCCUGUUGAGAAAAUGUAAAAUUUUCCUCAUUUUUGAGCAAUUUAGCAAAAUUUUUAAAUGUGAUAUAUUUUAAUGCGAAUUAGUUGCAAUGUGUUUCUUUUCACUCAAAUAAUGCUUUAAAUUAAAAAAAUAAUAAAAAAUCGGAAAAAAAAUUUUUAAAAAUUUUCAACUCGAAAAUUUCAUAAGGCUUACCCCUUACGUUUUUUUUGGGAAAUUUUGCAAAAAAAAUGAAAUUGAUUAUUUUAAUGCCAAUUGCUUGCAAUGUGUUUCUUUUCACUCAAGUAAUGCUUUUAAUAAAAAAAAAGAGUGAAAAAUAAUAAAAAAAUCAAAAAAUUCAAAAAAAUUAAAAUUUACUAAGGCUCAUUUUUGCAGCAAGUUUUGCCUAUAACUCGGUCGGUAUCCAACGGAUCGCCAAUCUUUAACCUGUGAUCGAUAGAUGGCAUCAAUGGCUACAUUUUCUUCUUGGACAGCCAUGCUCUCAGGUGUCCGUGCCGGAAGUUAUUCGAGGAAGCAAGUUCCAUACCCUGUUUGAGAAAAUGUAAAAUUUUUCUCAUUUUUGCACCAAGUUUUGCCUAUAACUCGGUCGGUAUCCAACGGAUCGCCAAUCUUUAACCUGUGAUCGAUAGAUGGCAUCAAUGGCUACAUUUUCUUCUUGGACAGCCAUGCUCUCAGGUGUCCGUGCCGGAAGUUAUUCGAGGAAGCAAGUUCCAUACCCUGUUUGAGAAAAUGUAAAAUUUUUCUCAUUUUUGCACCAAGUUUUGCCUAUAACUCGGUCGGUAUCGAACGGAUCGCCAAUCUUUAAACUGUGGUCGAUAGAUGGCACCUAUGGCUACAUUUUCUUCUUAGACGGCCAUGCUCUCAGGUGCCCGUGCCAGAAGUUAUUCGAGGAACCAAGUUCCUUACCCUGUUGACAAAAUGUAAAAUUUUCCUCAUUUUUGAGCAAUUUAGCAAAAUUUUUAAAUGUGAUAUAUUUUAAUGCGAAUUAGUUGCAAUGUGUUUCUUUUCACUCAAAUAAUGCUUUAAAUUAAAAAAAUAAUAAAAAAUCGGAAAAAAAAUUUUUAAAAAUUUUCAACUCGAAAAUUUCAUAAGGCUUACCCCUUACGUUUUUUUUGGGAAAUUUUGCAAAAAAAAUGAAAUUGAUUUAUUUUAAUGCCAAUUGCUUGCAAUGUGUUUCUUUUCACUCAAGUAAUGCUUUAAAUAAAAAAAAGAGUGAAAAAUAAUAAAAAAAUCAAAAACUUCAAAAAAAUUAAAAUUUACUAAGGCUCAUUUUUGCAGCAAGUUUUGCCUAUAACUCGGUCGGUAUCCAACGGAUCGCCAAUCUUUAACCUGUGAUCGAUAGAUGGCAUCAAUGGCUACAUUUUCUUCUUGGACAGCCAUGCUCUCAGGUGUCCGUGCCGGAAGUUAUUCGAGGAAACAAGUUCCAUACCCUGUUUGAGAAAAUGUAAAAUUUUUCUCAUUUUUGCACCAAGUUUUGCCUAUAACUCGGUCGGUAUCCAACGGAUCGCCAAUCUUUAAACUGUGGUCGAUAGAUGGCACCUAUGGCUACAUUUUCUUCUUAGACGGCCAUGCUCUCAGGUGCCCGUGCCAGAAGUUAUUCGAGGAACCAAGUUCCUUACCCUGUUGAGAAAAUGUAAAAUUUUCCUCAUUUUUGAGCAAUUUAGCAAAAUUUUUAAAUGUGAUAUAUUUUAAUGCGAAUUAGUUGCAAUGUGUUUCUUUUCACUCAAAUAAUGCUUUAAAUUAAAAAAAUAAUAAAAAAUCAGAAAAAAAUUUUUUAAAAAUUUUCAACUCGAAAAUUUUAUAAGGCUUACCCCUUACGUUUUUUUUUGGGAAAUUUUGCAAAAAAAAUGAAAUUGAUUUAUUUUAAUGCCAAUUGCUUGCAAUGUGUUUCUUUUCACUCAAGUAAUGCUUUAAAUAAAAAAAAGAGUGAAAAAUAAUAAAAAAAUCAAAAAAUUCAAAAAAAUUAAAAUUUACUAAGGCUCAUUUUUGCAGCAAGUUUUGCCUAUAACUCGGUCGGUAUCCAACGGAUCGCCAAUCUUUAACCUGUGAUCGAUAGAUGGCAUCAAUGGCUACAUUUUCUUCUUGGACAGCCAUGCUCUCAGGUGUCCGUGCCGGAAGUUAUUCGAGGAAGCAAGUUCCAUACCCUGUUUGAGAAAAUGUAAAAUUUUUCUCAUUUUUGCACCAAGUUUUGCCUAUAACUCGGUCGGUAUCCAACGGAUCGCCAAUCUUUAAACUGUGGUCGAUAGAUGGCACCUAUGGCUACAUUUUCUUCUUAGACGGCCAUGCUCUCAGGUGCCCGUGCCAGAAGUUAUUCGAGGAACCAAGUUCCUUACCCUGUUGAGAAAAUGUAAAAUUUUCCUCAUUUUUGAGCAAUUUAGCAAAAUUUUUAAAUGUGAUAUAUUUUAAUGCGAAUUAGUUGCAAUGUGUUUCUUUUCACUCAAAUAAUGCUUUAAAUUAAAAAAAUAAUAAAAAAUCGGAAAAAAAAUUUUCAACUCGAAAAUUUCAUAAGGCUUAUCCCUUACGUUUUUUUGGGAAAUUUUGCAAAAAAAAUGAAAUUGAUUUAUUUUAAUGCCAAUUGCUUGCAAUGUGUUUCUUUUCACUCAAGUAAUGCUUUAAAUAAAAAAAAGAGUGAAAAAUAAUAAAAAAAUCAAAAAAUUCAAAAAAAUUAAAAUUUACUAAGGCUCAUUUUUGCAGCAAGUUUUGCCUAUAACUCGGUCGGUAUCCAACGGAUCGCCAAUCUUUAACCUGUGAUCGAUAGAUGGCAUCAAUGGCUACAUUUUCUUCUUGGACAGCCAUGCUCUCAGGUGUCCGUGCCGGAAGUUAUUCGAGGAAACAAGUUCCAUACCCUGUUUGAGAAAAUAUAAAAUUUUUCUCAUUUUUGCACCAAGUUUUGCCUAUAACUCGGUCGGUAUCCAACGGAUCGCCAAUCUUUAAACUGUGGUCGAUAGAUGGCACCUAUGGCUACAUUUUCUUCUUAGACGGCCAUGCUCUCAGGUGCCCGUGCCAGAAGUUAUUCGAGGAACCAAGUUCCUUACCCUGUUGAGAAAAUGUAAAAUUUUCCUCAUUUUUGAGCAAUUUAGCAAAAUUUUUAAAUGUGAUAUAUUUUAAUGCGAAUUAGUUGCAAUGUGUUUCUUUUCACUCAAAUAAUGCUUUAAAUUAAAAAAAUAAUAAAAAAUCGAAAAAAAAAUUUUAAAAAUUUUCAACUCGAAAAUUUCAUAAGGCUUACCCCUUACGUUUUUUUUGGGAAAUUUUGCAAAAAAAAAUAAAAUUGAUUUAUUUUAAUGCCAAUUGCUUGCAAUGUGUUUCUUUUCACUCAAGUAAUGCUUUAAAUAAAAAAAAGAGUGAAAAAUAAUAAAAAAAUCAAAAAAUUCAAAAAAAUUAAAAUUUACUAAGGCUCAUUUUUGCAGCAAGUUUUGCCUAUAACUCGGUCGGUAUCCAACGGAUCGCCAAUCUUUAACCUGUGAUCGAUAGAUGGCAUCAAUGGCUACAUUUUCUUCUUGGACAGCCAUGCUCUCAGGUGUCCGUGCCGGAAGUUAUUCGAGGAAACAAGUUCCAUACCCUGUUUGAGAAAAUGUAAAAUUUUCCUCAUUUUUGAGCAAUUUAGCAAAAUUUUUAAAUGUGAUAUAUUUUAAUGCGAAUUAGUUGCAAUGUGUUUCUUUUCACUCAAAUAAUGCUUUAAAUUAAAAAAAUAAUAAAAAAUCGGAAAAAAAAUUUUAAAAAAUUUUCAACUCGAAAAUUUCAUAAGGCUUACCCCUUACGUUUUUUUUGGGAAAUUUUGCAAAAAAAAUGAAAUUGAUUUAUUUUAAUGCCAAUUGCUUGCAAUGUGUUUCUUUUCACUCAAGUAAUGCUUUAAAUAAAAAAAAAAGAGUGAAAAAUAAUAAAAAAAUCAAAAAAUUCAAAAAAAUUAAAAUUUACUAAGGCUCAUUUUUGCAGCAAGUUUUGCCUAUAACUCGGUCGGUAUCCAACGGAUCGCCAAUCUUUAACCUGUGAUCGAUAGAUGGCAUCAAUGGCUACAUUUUCUUCUUGGACAGCCAUGCUCUCAGGUGUCCGUGCCGGAAGUUAUUCGAGGAAACAAGUUCCAUACCCUGUUUGAGAAAAUGUAAAAUUUUUCUCAUUUUUGCACCAAGUUUUGCCUAUAACUCGGUCGGUAUCCAACGGAUCGCCAAUCUUUAAACUGUGGUCGAUAGAUGGCACCUAUGGCUACAUUUUCUUCUUAGACGGCCAUGCUCUCAGGUGCCCGUGCCAGAAGUUAUUCGAGGAACCAAGUUCCUUACCCUGUUGAGAAAAUGUAAAAUUUUCCUCAUUUUUGAGCAAUUUAGCAAAAUUUUUAAAUGUGAUAUAUUUUAAUGCGAAUUAGUUGCAAUGUGUUUCUUUUCACUCAAAUAAUGCUUUAAAUUAAAAAAAUAAUAAAAAAUCGGAAAAAAAUUUUUAAAAAAUUUUCAACUCGAAAAUUUCAUAAGGCUUACCCCUUACGUUUUUUUUUGGGAAAUUUUGCAAAAAAAAUGAAAUUGAUUUAUUUUAAUGCCAAUUGGUUGCAAUGUGUUUCUUUUCACUCAAGUAAUGCUUUAAAUAAAAAAAAGAGUGAAAAAUAAUAAAAAAAUCAAAAAAUUCAAAGAAAUUUAAAUUUACUAAGGCUCAUUUUUGCAGCAAGUUUUGCCUAUAACUCGGUCGGUAUCCAACGGAUCACCAAUCUUUAACCUGUGAUCGAUAGAUAACAUCAAUGGCUACAUUUUCUUCUUGGACAGCCAUGCUCUCAGGUGUCCGUGCCGGAAGUUAUUCGAGGAAGCAAGUUCCAUACCCUGUUGAGAAAAUGUAAAAUUUUCCUCAUUUUUGAGCAAUUUAGCAAAAUUUUUAAAUGUGAUAUAUUUUAAUGCGAAUUAGUUGCAAUGUGUUUCUUUUCACUCAAAUAAUGCUUUAAAUUAAAAAAAUAAUAAAAAAUCGGAAAAAAAUUUUUAAAAAAUUUUCAACUCGAAAAUUUCAUAAGGCUUACCCCUUACGUUUUUUUUGGGAAAUUUUGCAAAAAAAAUGAAAUUGAUUUAUUUUAAUGCCAAUUGGUUGCAAUGUGUUUCUUUUCACUCAAGUAAUGCUUUAAAUAAAAAAAAGAGUGAAAAAUAAUAAAAAAAUCAAAAAAUUCAAAAAAAUUAAAAUUUACUAAGGCUCAUUUUUGCAGCAAGUUUUGCCUAUAACUCGGUCGGUAUCCAACGGAUCACCAAUCUUUAACCUGUGAUCGAUAGAUAACAUCAAUGGCUACAUUUUCUUCUUGGACAGCCAUGCUCUCAGGUGUCCGUGCCGGAAGUUAUUCGAGGAAGCAAGUUCCAUACCCUGUUUGAGAAAAUGUAAAAUUUUCCUCAUUUUUGAGCAAUUUAGCAAAAUUUUUAAAUGUGAUAUAUUUUAAUGCGAAUUAGUUGCAAUGUGUUUCUUUUCACUCAAAUAAUGCUUUAAAUUAAAAAAAUAAUAAAAAAUCAGAAAAAAAUUUUAAAAAAAUUUUCAACUCGAAAAUUUCAUAAGGCUUACCCCUUACGUUUUUUUUGGGAAAUUUUGCAAAAAAAAUGAAAUUGAUUUAUUUUAAUGCCAAUUGCUUGCAAUGUGUUUCUUUUCACUCAAGUAAUGCUUUAAAUAAAAAAAAAGAGUGAAAAAUAAUAAAAAAAUCAAAAAAUUCAAAAAAAUUAAAAUUUACUAAGGCUCAUUUUUGCAGCAAGUUUUGCCUAUAACUCGGUCGGUAUCCAACGGAUCGCCAAUCUUUAACCUGUGAUCGAUAGAUGGCAUCAAUGGCUACAUUUUCUUCUUGGACAGCCAUGCUCUCAGGUGUCCGUGCCGGAAGUUAUUCGAGGAAACAAGUUCCAUACCCUGUUUGAGAAAAUGUAAAAAUUUUCUCAUUUUUGCACCAAGUUUUGCCUAUAACUCGGUCGGUAUCCAACGGAUCGCCAAUCUUUAAACUGUGGUCGAUAGAUGGCACCUAUGGCUACAUUUUCUUCUUAGACGGCCAUGCUCUCAGGUGCCCGUGCCAGAAGUUAUUCGAGGAACCAAGUUCCUUACCCUGUUUGAGAAAAUGUAAAAUUUUCCUCAUUUUUGAGCAAUUUAGCAAAAUUUUUAAAUGUGAUAUAUUUUAAUGCGAAUUAGUUGCAAUGUGUUUCUUUUCACUCAAAUAAUGCUUUAAAUUAAAAAAAUAAUAAAAAAUCGGAAAAAAAAUUUUUAAAAAUUUUCAACUCGAAAAUUUCAUAAGGCUUACCCCUUACGUUUUUUUUGGGAAAUUUUGCAAAAAAAAUGAAAUUGAUUUAUUUUAAUGCCAAUUGCUUGCAAUGUGUUUCUUUUCACUCAACUAAUGCUUUAAAUAAAAAAAAGAGUGAAAAAUAAUAAAAAAAAUCAAAAAAUUCAAAAAAAUUAAAAUUUACUAAGGCUCAUUUUUGCAGCAAGUUUUGCCUAUAACUCGGUCGGUAUCCAACGGAUCGCCAAUCUUUAACCUGUGAUCGAUAGAUGGCAUUAAUGGCUACAUUUUCUUCUUGGACAGCCAUGCUCUCAGGUGUCCGUGCCGGAAGUUAUUCGAGGAACCAAGUUCCUUACCCUGUUUGAGAAAAUGUAAAAUUUUCCUCAUUUUUGCACCAAGUUUUGCCUAUAACUCGGUCGGUAUCUAACGGAUCGCCAAUCUUUAAAUUGUGAUCGAUAGAUGACACCAAUGGCUACAUUUUCUUCUUAGACCGCGAUGCUCUCAGGUGUCUGUGCCGGAAGUUAUUCGAGGAAACAAGUUCCUUACCCUGUUUGAGAAAAUGUAAAAUUUUCCUCAUUUUUGCACCAAGUUUUGCCUAUAACUCGGUCGGUAUCUAACGGAACGCCAAUCUUUAACCUGUGGUCGAUAGAUGGCACCAAUGGCUAUAUUUUCUUCUUGGACGGCCAUGCUCUCAGGUGUCCGUGCCGGAAGUUAUUCGAGGGACCAAGUUCUAUACCUUGUUGGGAAAAUGUAAAAUUUUCCUCAUUUUUGCACCAAGUUUUGCCUAUAACUCAGUCGGUAUCUAACGGAUCGCCAAUCUUUAAACUAUGAUCGAUAGAUGGCACCUAUGGCUACAUUUUCUUCUUAGACCGCGAUGCUCUCAGGUGUCUGUGCCGGAAGUUAUUUUCCUCAUUUUUGAGCAAUGUAGCAAAAUUUAUAAAUGUGAUAUAUUUUCAUCCAAAUUUGUUGCAAUGUGUUUCUUUUCACUCAAAUAAUGCUUUAAAUUAAAAAAAUAAUAAAAAAUCAGAAAAAUUUUUUUAAAAAUUUUCAACUCGAAAAUUUCAUAAGGCUUACCCCUUACGAUUUUUUUGGGAAAUUUUGAAAAAAAAAUGAAAUUGAUUUAUUUUAGUCCCAAUCGGUUGCAAUGUGUUUCUUUUCACUCAAGUAAUGCUUUAAAUAAAAAAAAGAGUGAAAAAUAAUCAAAAAAUCAAAAAAUUCAAAAAAAUGAAAAUUUACUAAGGCUCAUUUUUGCGCCAAGUUUUGCCUAUAACUUGGUCGGUAUCUAACGGAUCGCCAAUCUUUAACCUGUGGUCAAUAGAUGGCACCAAUAGCUACAUUUUCUUCUUGGACGGCCAUGCUCUCAGGUGUCCGUGCCGGAAGUUAUUCGAGGAACCAAGUUCCUUACCCUGUUUGAGAAAAUGUAAAAUUUUCGUCAUUUUUGCACCAAGUUUUGCCUAUAACUCGGUCGGUAUACAACGGAUCGCCAAUCUUUAACCUGUGGUCAAUAGAUGACACCAAUAGCUACAUUUUCUUCUUGGACGGCCAUGCUCUCAGGUGUCCGUGCCGGAAGUUAUUCGCGGAACCAAGUUCCUUACCCUGUUUGAGAAAAUGUAAAAUUUUCCUCAUUUUUGCACCAAGUUUUGCCUAUAACUCGGUCGGUAUCUAACGGAUCACCAAUCUUUAAACUGUGAUCGAUAGAUGGCACCAAUGGCUACAUUUUCUUCUUGGACGGCCAUGCUCUCAGGUGUCCGUGCCGGAAGUUAUUCGCGGAACCAAGUUCCUUACCCUGUUUGAGAAAAUGUAAAAUUUUCCUCAUUUUUGCACCAAGUUUUGCCUAUAACUCGGUCGGUAUCUAACGGAACGCCAAUCUUUAAACUGUGAUCGAUAGAUGGCACCAAUGGCUACAUUUUCUUCUUGGACGGCCAUGCUCGCAGAUGUCUGUGCCGGAAGUUAUUCGAGGGACCAAGUUCUAUACCUUGUUGGGAAAAUGUAAAAUUUUCCUCAUUUUUGCACCAAGUUUUGCCUAUAACUCGGUCGGUAUCUAACGGAUCGCCAAUCUUUAAACUGUGAUCGAUAGAUGGCACCUAUGGCUACAUUUUCUUCUUAGACCGCGAUGCUCUCAGGUAUCUGUGCCGGAAGUUAUUUUCCUCAUUUUUGAGCAAUGUAGCAAAAUUUAUAAAUGUGAUAUAUUUUCAUCCAAAUUUGUUGCAAUGUGUUUCUUUUCACUCAAAUAAUGCUUUAAAUUAAAAAAAUAAUAAAAAAUCAGAAAAAAAAUUUUUAAAAAUUUUCAACUCGAAAAUUUCAUAAGGCUUACCUCUUACGAUUUUUUUGGGAAAUUUUGAAAAAAAAAUGAAAUUGAUUUAUUUUAGUCCCAAUCGGUUGCAAUGUGUUUCUUUUCACUCAAGUAAUGCUUUAAAUAAAAAAGAGUGAAAAAUAAUAAAAAAAUCAAAAAAUUCAAAAAAAUGAAAAUUUACUAAGGCUCAUUUUUGCGCCAAGUUUUGCCUAUAACUUGGUCGGUAUCUAACGGAUCGCCAAUCUUUAACCUGUGGUCAAUAGAUGGCACCAAUAGCUACAUUUUCUUCUUGGACGGCCAUGCUCUCAGGUGUCCGUGCCGGAAGUUAUUCGCGGAACCAAGUUCCUUACCCUGUUUGAGAAAAUGUAAAAUUUUCCUCAUUUUUGCACCAAGUUUUGCCUAUAACUCGGUCGGUAUCUAACGGAACGCCAAUCUUUAAACUGUGAUCGAUAGAUGGCACCAAUGGCUACAUUUUCUUCUUGGACGGCCAUGCUCGCAGAUGUCUGUGCCGGAAGUUAUUCGAGGGACCAAGUUCUAUACCUUGUUGGGAAAAUGUAAAAUUUUCCUCAUUUUUGCACCAAGUUUUGCCUAUAACUCGGUCGGUAUCUAACGGAUCGCCAAUCUUUAAACUGUGAUCGAUAGAUGGCACCUAUGGCUACAUUUUCUUCUUAGACCGCGAUGCUCUCAGGUGUCUGUGCCGGAAGUUAUUUUCCUCAUUUUUGAGCAAUGUAGCAAAAUUUAUAAAUGUGAUAUAUUUUCAUCCAAAUUUGUUGCAAUGUGUUUCUUUUCAC